GAUGAACGCUGGCGGUAUGCUUAACACAUGCAAGUCGAACGGACUCUUCGGAGUUAGUGGCGGACGGGUGAGUAACGCGUGAGAAUCUGGCUUUGGGUUCGGGACAACCACUGGAAACGGUGGCUAAUACCGGAUGUGCCGAGAGGUAAAAGAGAAAUUGCCUGAAGAUGAGCUCGCGUCUGAUUAGCUAGUUGGUGAAGUAAAGGCUCACCAAGGCAGCGAUCAGUAGCUGGUCUGAGAGGAUGACCAGCCACACUGGGACUGAGACACGGCCCAGACUCCUACGGGAGGCAGCAGUGGGGAAUUUUCCGCAAUGGGCGAAAGCCUGACGGAGCAAUACCGCGUGAGGGAAGAAGGCUCUUGGGUUGUAAACCUCUUUUCUUAGGGAAGAACAAAAUGACGGUACCUAAGGAAUCAGCAUCGGCUAACUCCGUG
rnacentral:rRNA from 1 species